rnacentral:rRNA from 1 species
CGAAAGCCUGACGGAGCAACGCCGCGUGGGGGAAGAAGGCUCUUGGGUUGUAAACCUCUUUUCUCAGGGAAGAAGCUCUGACGGUACCUGAGGAAUCAGCCUCGGCUAACUCCGUGCCAGCAGCCGCGGUAAUACGGAGGAGGCAAGCGUUAUCCGGAAUUAUUGGGCGUAAAGCGUCCGCAGGUGGCGAUUCAAGUCUGCUGUCAAAGCACGGGGCUUAACUCCGUUAAGGCAGUGUAAACUGAAUAGCUAGGGUGCCGUAGGGGUAGAGGGAAUUCCCGGUGUAGCGGUGAAAUGCGUAGAGAUCGGGAAGAACAUCGGUGGCGAAAGCGCUCUACUGGGUCGCACCUGACCCUCAGGGACGAAAGCUAAGGUAGCG